rnacentral:rRNA from 1 species
GGUAAACCUGAGAAACCCGAAAGUUCGAAUGGGGAGAUUCAUCGUCAGCGAUACUGGUACGUGUGCGGUUCGCGAUGCCGGAGACCUCGGUCUCGUGGCACGCGUCCGCAUGUUUUUUAUUGCCUGAAUCGUCGGCGUGCACUUCUCCCCUAGUAGGACGUCGCGACCCGUUGGGUGUCGGUCUACGACCCGGGCGGUAGCCUGUCUCGUGUGCGCCUCGCGGCGUUACGCGGGGCAGACCCCUGCGCGUCUGACCGGCUGCCCGGCGGUACUCGCACGGUAUCUGGCCGCAAAUAUUCGAACUGCGUCCGGCCCGUCGCAAGCGAGGCAAGUGUUUCCCGGCUGUACGGAUCUAAUGCCGUCACCGGGCCUUGCCAGCUGUUGGUUGACGGUGUCCUAGGACUGGCCAAUAAAAUUAUGAUACCGGUCGGCGACGCUACUGCUUUGGGUACUUUCAGGACCCGUCUUGAAACACGGACCAAGGAGUCUAACAUGUGCGCGAGUCAUUGGGAACUAUUAAGCCUAAAGGCGCAAUGAAAGUGAAGGUCGGUCUUGCACCGACCGAGGGAGGAUGGGCCGCGUCACGAUGCGGUCCCGCACUCCCGGGGCGUCUCGUUCUCAUUGCGAGAAGAGGCGCACC